UCCCUUGUGGCUCAGCUGGUAAAGAAUCUGCCUGCAAUGCAGGAGAUCUGGGUUCGAUCCCUGGAUUGGGAA
rnacentral:tRNA from 1 species